rnacentral:rRNA from 1 species
UGAGGAAUAUUGGACAAUGGGUGAAAACCUGAUCCAGCCAUGCCGCGUGCAGGAAGACGGCCCUAUGGGUUGUAAACUGCUUUUGUAUGGGAGCAAUAAGCUCUACGCGUAGAGUGAUGAGAGUACCAUACGAAUAAGCAUCGGCUAACUACGUGCCAGCAGCCGCGGUAAUACGUAGGGAGCAAGCGUUAUCCGGAUUUACUGGGUGUAAAGGGCGCGUAGGCGGGACUGCAAGUCAGGUGUGAAAUCUGGGGGCUCAACCCCCAAACUGCACUUGAAACUGUGGUUCUUGAGUGAUGGAGAGGCAAGUGGAAUUCCUAGUGUAGCGGUGAAAUGCGUAGAUAUUAGGAGGAACACCAGUGGCGAAGGCGGCCUGCUGGGAUUUUACUGACGCUGAGGCUCGAAAGUGUGGGUAGCAAACA